UACGGAGGAUCCGAGCGUUAUCCGGAUUUAUUGGGUUUAAAGGGUGCGUAGGUGGAUUGGUAAGUCAGUGGUGAAAGUUUGCAGCUUAACUGUAAAAUUGCCGUUGAAACUGCCGGUCUUGAGUGCAAAUGAGGUAGGCGGAAUGCGUCGUGUAGCGGUGAAAUGCUUAAGAUAUUACUCAGAACGCCGAUUGCGAAGGCAGCUUACUAAUCCACAACUGACACUGAGGCACGAAAGCGUGGGGAUCAAACAGGAUUAGAUACCCUGGUA
rnacentral:rRNA from 1 species